AUCUAAUAAGAGUCCUUCUACAAGUAAAACUCUCUUAUCAGAUACGAUAUUUUAUUCUUCUCCCACGUGCACCCAAUAAAAGAUAUGAUAAGCAUCUUUUUGUUAAUCAGAUUAUUUUCAGAUUUUUACACAUAGAAACUCUUUCCUUAAAUAUAUAAAAACUAGAAGAUUAUCUGAUAUAAGUGGCACCUAAGAGACUUAAAGCAAAAGGAGUCUAUGCGGUCUUUUAUUGGUGUUUCUGAAGAGUUGCGUAACAACAAUUUGUAGCACCCUCCUUCUCCACCAC
rnacentral:lncRNA from 1 species